rnacentral:rRNA from 1 species
CGGACGGGUGAGUAACGCGUGAGUAACCUGCCUUCGGAUGGGGGAUAACAGCCGGAAACGGCUGCUAAUACCGCAUAACACAUGGGAUCCGCAUGUUUCCCAUGUCAAAGAUUUAUCGUCCGGAGAUGAGCUCGCGUCUGAUUAGCUGGUUGGCGGGGUAACGGCCCACCAAGGCGACGAUCAGUAGCCGGACUGAGAGGUUGAACGGCCACAUUGGGACUGAGACACGGCCCAGACUCCUACGGGAGGCAGCAG